GAUGAAGAACGUAGCGAAAUGCGAUAAGUAGUGUGAAUUGCAGAAUUCAGUGAAUCAUCGAAUCUUUGAACGCACAUUGCGCCCUUUGGUAUUCCUUAGGGCAUGCCUGUUCGAGCGUCAUUUAAACCUUCAAGCUAAGCUUGGUGUUGGGUGACUGUCCGCUUCACGGCGGACUCGCCUCAAAAUUAUUGGCGGCCGGUACAUUGGCUUCGAGCGCAGCAGAAACGCGAACUCGGGCCCGUCGUAUUGGCUCCCAGAAGCUAUCUUCACAAUUUUGACCUCGGAUCAGGUAGGAAUACCCGCUGAACUUAAGCAUAUCAAUAAGCGGAGGA
rnacentral:misc_RNA from 1 species